UACGUAGGGGGCAAGCGUUGUCCGGAAUCAUUGGGCGUAAAGAGCGUGUAGGCGGCCCGGUAAGUCCGCUGUGAAAGUCAAAGGCUCAACCUUUGAAUGUCAGCGGAUACUGCCGGGCUAGAGUCCGGAAGAGGCGAGUGGAAUUCCUGGUGUAGCGGUGGAAUGCGCAGAUAUCAGGAGGAACACCGAUAGCGAAGGCAGCUCGCUGGGACGGUACUGACGCUGAGGUGCGAAAGCGUGGGGAGCGAACAGG
rnacentral:rRNA from 1 species